AUUUAGCCGGCCACCAAUUGUGCAAGUUCUCCCACUUAAAAAGAUGAGAGGCCUGUAAUUUAUUUCAUAGGUACACUUCAACUAUGACAGACAAAAUAAGGGAAAAAAAUCCAGAAAAUCACAUUGUAGGAUUUUUAAUGAAUUUAUUUGCAAAUUAUGGUGGAAAAUAAGUAUUUGGUCACCUACAAACAAGCAAGAUUUCUGGCUCUCACAGACCUGUAACUUCUUCUUUAACCCUUUCAUGCAUGAGUUCCAAAUAUCUCUAACGGUCGCCCCAGCGUGAGUUUUUUUAUGCACGUGAUGUUAGAAUGUUCUCUCCAUUCCAGAAUGUGAUUGAUACGUAACAGUACAUUUUAUCCGCGCUGCCCUCAAACUAAAGCACGCAGCCUGUUUAUAUUUAUAGGUUGUUUUAACUUCAAUUUCAAAUGAUUUUUAAACAAGUUUUUAUUUUCUAAAAACAGUUUGAAUUUAGGUGUGUUACGCCUCCUCAUUCAUUCACAUAAAAAUAGUCAUUUUUACUUUUGCGGAUAAUUACAUUUUUGGGACAUUUCUGACACGGACAAAAUUCCCCAAGCACUACCCAAUCGUUUGUGCAGUUCACGUCUGCAGACAUUUGCUCAUCUCCCGUCAGAACAGGAUCUGCACACGUGUUCACAUUUUCUAUUCCACAUUUCUAUUGUAGCGUACUGUAUGUAUGGAGCAUAAUAUAUUUGUGUAUAUUCUUUAUCACCGCGGACACGUGAGGUAACGUUACUCAUUUUAUAACCUUUAUGGUGUUAUAGUCAAUCGUGCUUACGUAGCCACAUUCUUCUAUUAGCUCUGUAAAACAAUGCUAAAUGCGUCAGAGAAGUAUUAUCUUGUGUUGCAUUUUGAAGCUACCCCAUGGCCUUAUGACUCUCAAGUGGUGCAGCGGUCAAAGGCACAGCACAUCAGUACUAGAGGCGUCACUACAGACUCCCUGGUUCAAAUCCAGGCUGCGUUUCCAUCAAAAAACCAGAAACAUUAUUUGUCAAUAUCAUAACUGGAGCUGGACAUCUUUGGAGCUGAAGAAUGAGGACAGCUUUUGUAUGCUAACGUACACUCCUUAACAGUUGUACUGGAUGAAAACACAGCAAGAAAACACAUAUGCCAAUAUGUAAUAUUAAUCUAUUUUAUUGCAGUACUGGUAGUUGGUUCAACAACUUGUUUUACUAGAGGACAAAAAACUGAAUAUGCAUAACCCAUAUUUAAUAUCCAUGCAGUGACUGAACAACAACUGCAUUUCCACCCCCAUCUCUAAGGCAUAGUAUCAUGGCUGCAACAACACUGAAUGGCGCAGAGUGGGAGGUUACGUGGUUGACUGCCGGCACGCGCUACUUGUAUCAAUAAAUCACUAUCAGAAAAUGUUUUGUGUGGUAAUUAUUUGUGUAUUUACGAUUUUAUUCACAUGUUUUCAAUUCUAGGUGACAAAUCAUGCAUUCCGAUUCUUGCACAGAUUGUAAUGGGCACAUAUUAUGUGUGUAAAAUACCUUUUUGAAGGUUGUACUGAUUAUGAUGAGCUAAGCUAAUUCCAGCUGUGUAUCCAUGUUUGUUGACAUACAAUGCAUUCUGGGAUUCACGUCUGUUUGACCAAAGAUGUUAUAACAAAAUGAGGUGAGUAAGAGUUCACUAAUUUUUUGAGGACUUACGGAAAUUCAUGGUGGGAUGUGAACGACGGUAGAUGACACAGCCCUUCAACAUGCAUACUACAAACAGACCAAACUCAUCUCGUCUUCUCUUAUUAUCUUCGGUUUCUGUGAGGAAAAAAUGCAUGGCUGCGCGCUGAAACUAAUGUCGGAUUACUUUCGAUUUCUAUAAAGUGUUUUACCUAGUUAUUUCGAUCAAUGGUGAGCUCACUCACCCGUGAUGUGAUUGAUUAUAUACAGUAAUUGCUAUUAGCUAAUUCAUAUUGUAGUUUACGUCAGCCGAGAGUUAGAAAAUAUGACUGCUUGUGUUGGGUCAAUCUUUCCUCAGCGCUAGGACAAAUGUAGCCUACAUUUUUCCGGUUAGGAUGAUUGUGUUAUGCUAUAUCUUCUGUGAAUAUCUGAACAAUCCAUCCAAAAAUAAACUGCUGACAUUCUGGA